rnacentral:lncRNA from 10 species
UGCAGAACUGCCCUGGGCUGCUGCUCUCAGGCACUGCCUGUGGGCCCUGCUCUGCUGUGGUGUGGUGGUCACGGGGCUGCUACCCUGCACCUCCAUAAAGCUGCUUCCUCCUACCACCAGCUCGCUCCUAAGCACAGCCAAAAUCCUUCCCGGGCUAAGCCCAGUGUGGGGUUCGCCUGCCCUGCUUCAGACGGAUUGAAGAUCAGAUCAGAUACAGCGGAAGAAAGAACUACUGGACUGGAAGCUUUAGGAAGAAGACACUUUUUUUUCUGGUUAUUGAAAUCUUCUUUUAAGAAGACACCUUAAGGAAUACUACACUGUCCUAUAAAAGAGCAAGAUCAUGUCUUUUGCGGCAACAUGGAUGCAGCUGGCGGCCAUUAUCCUAAGAUAAUUAAUGCAGGAGCAGAAAACUAAAUGCCAUAUGUUCUCACCUAUCAGUGGGAGCUAAACAUUGGGCACUCGGGGACAUAAAGAUGGAAUCAGUAGGUGCUGGAGACUACCGGGGAGGGGAGGGGGCGAGGGUUGAAAAAACUACCUGUUGGGAGCUGUGCUCACUGCCUCGGUGAAGGGAUCAACUGUACCCCAAACCUCAGGAUCACGCAAUAGACCCAUGUAACAAACAUGCACAUGGACCCCUGAAUUUUAAGUAAAAGUUGCAAUUAUUUUUAAAAAGUUGAUGACAAUGGACUCAUUCAUUCAUUCAUUCAUUCAUUCAUUUUUCUGUUCAUUUAAAUGAAGAUUUAUUGAGCACCUAUUAAAAGGAAAGAGGAAGGGAUGUAGCACUUUGGACCUUGGAUGGCGCGUGUAGAAUUUCC